CCAAACAGACCCAAUGAAACCUAAGCAUGUCCUCCCCCACCGCACCCCUAUCCUCGCCUCUUUCCUUCCCUGCCUGCUGCCCUCCCUACGGCAGCUCCUCUGCUUCGGCCCGGCCCUCCAUGUAUGUGCCGCCGCGCCCCCACUCACCCCCGUCGUCGCGGCCACAGGGCCUCGCCUCGCCCGCCCCGCCCAAUGCCGACGCUGAUUCCGGCACCACGCACCCACGGCAUGACGCCACGCCUCGCUCGCCUUCGUCGAGGCCGUGCGAUGCAGCCCAAGCACGGUGUGUCUCGGCCUUGGCCAACGCGCUCGGCCAUGACUAGCAGCGACUCAUGAAGCGCUUGGGCACAUGGGCUGCGGUCAAGCGGCGGUAGCGUCGCAGGGGCCAUGUGGAAGCCGGGAUGAGGACGGACACUUCCAGAUCAGGUGCUCGCACCUGAUCUUGAUUUCUGUGGUCGUGGCGGUUGAAGAUUGAGCAUUGGACGGAUGCAUCUAGAUCAGACCUGUCCUAUAUGGCCGAGCAAGAUCGAGGACGACUGCCGAUAAUGUUCUCCUCGUGUGCAAGCUCCGCACUGCACUGAAGCAUCCGACACAUGCUUAUUCCUUUUAAUGAUCUGAGAAAUAUAUUUGGAUCAGGGAAGCAUGAAGCACAAGCAAUCAUCUCAGAUAUCGAAUCUCAAGCAUACAGAAAUAGGCUUGCAAAAUUCUUUAGUACUGAUUUAGUUGUUGCUCCUAACAAAGCCUCCAAAAUCUCUGCGAAGAGUUAUAGUAUGAUCCUGAACUUGCGAGCAAGAUGCAUAAAGGCUCCUGGACUGCCGCGUGGUCACAGUGAAGAUGUGACACUUGUGGUUAUCUUUAUGUGGCAUUGAUGGUCAGAGAAACAAAACAAAGCUGGAGUGUGGUAAUAGCCAGGGACAUGUACCCAACUGUGAUGUCACCUUGGCCAUGCCCUUCUUUGUGAACUAUUAUGUAUGAAAUAUCCAGAAAAAGCUUAUCAAGACUAUUGAUAGUGCUUCUCUACUGCUCGAGUAAGGUAGUAAACGGUGAGAUGAACGCCGCCCAUGUUGUCGUCUCAGCCAUAUGGACAUAAUCUAAGGAUGGGAUCCACUCGCCUCAAGAAGGACGAUGACCACAACGAGUACCACCAUUGAACUGAAGGAGCCAGGGUGCAGGCGUUCCUCGAGAUAUUUCCAGUGGCCCCGCAGCCGAAGAAGCCGAAGUGGGUGGUAAGGAACGGGUGCUGUAAGCUAGACAAGGGGCCAAAAUAUGUUUCCACUGUAGGCACAUGUUGGUAGCAGAUAAAGUGUGCGAAAAAGCACUCGAAGGCCAUUACCUUCAGUUUUAGUAAGAGGGAAACAAUUGUGUAGAAUGUCCUCUUGUUUGAUCUGAUAUAUGCCCAAGAGAUUAGCAGUCCUUGAUUUGAUUAUGUGCCAAUCAUUAAAGCAAACAAGGAGUGAAGUAUUAGGAGAACUUCACCUUUUGAGCACCAAGGAUGUCUCAUUGAUUACAAUGUUGAUCAGGUUGCUUAGAAGAGAUAUGAGCAGAAGUAUUAUCAUUUGUGAAUACUCUUUUCGAGUGAGAUGAGCAGCAGUAGCAAGAUAGAUAAUAAUGUUAAAGUAUCUUAUUAUUUUGAAUUUUGAAUUUUUUGUGAUAGAGCAGGCAUUUAUUUCGAUAUGAUUUAACUGUUAAUAAUAUUUUGUGACUUCAAA